AUCUUGUGAUACAUCCCUCACCCG
rnacentral:siRNA from 1 species